UCCACUCCCACUCCCACACGGCCACGAGCACCACCAGUAUAGGCCGCUCGCUGUACCUGCACCGGGCAAGGGAAGCGAGCGAGAAGCAUCGCUGCUUAUUCCUUGCUUCCUCCUCACGUACACUGUCCUUUUGUUGGGGAAAUUAAUCUAUACCUUGGAGGCAGUGAUACAAAGAGGAUAAGGAAGAAAAAGGCUUAGAAACCAAGUGCAGAACAAAUUAUUAUAUAGCUAGGAGGCAGUGAUACAAGUACAAGAACAACAGGAAUAAGGGAAAAAAGGAUUAGAAACCAAGAUUGACGAUGAUAGCAUGGAAAUUGAGCAGACACAGUAUCCAGCUUCAUCAGAUACAACUACAAGUAAGAGACCCUAUGUAUCUACAACAGCAGUCACAGGAUGACCAAAAUGAAGAUGACUCGGGAAACAAAAUCAGCAAGAAGAGCUCUGGUCACAACAAAAAGCCUAAGCAGCA